AGAGGAAAGGGGGCUGCCGCUCCGCUGCCGUGGAAGCUCUGGGAUUACUAACGGAAAGAACUCACAACCAGCGCCUCAGAGGCACGGACUGCUAUUGUUGUUAUUGAUACUAUUGUUGUUGUUGUUCAUUGUAGCCCCUGCACGCGCUGGACGUCGGAAAGGAAACAAUAAAGGCUCGCUAAGAGAAGGGAAAGGAAGAAGAGGAACACAAUCGAUGAGCAGGUCGUGUUCAACCGGUACGACGUCACGGUCUUAAGCUCCGGAUGAUCUCCAGAACCUCCCGACGCUGAUCCUCAGACCAGAUCGGAGCCCCCCACCACCCCCCGGGGUUCUGCUCAGGGAUAAUGAGCGACUAACUCCUCCCGCGGUGGACUCGAUACGCCGGCGGCCGCCGUCUUAACCGACCUGCUGCGAUUACCUGCUCGGCGGAUCUCUGUUUGAAAGCUGCAGGAAGCGUGUUGAAGACUGAAGGUUCUUAGAGGGAGAACCUCAAAGGGGGGUUUUCAACCCCUGACGCGCCGCCAACCAACCCAGCCUCCAAG